rnacentral:misc_RNA from 1 species
UCCCGGGCGAUCUGCCCCAAAAUCAGGGUGUGGGUGUCGAACCUCCAACCGCAGUGACUAUUUCCGGUUUCGGGGUACGGCAUCGGUGCCAUGGUGUCUCGCAGAGAGACACCGCGUAUACCAGCGAUGGUACGCCGGCGGGCGCCCGUAGCGUCCCAAUUUUCGACCUCGGAUCAGGUAGGGAUACCCGCUGAACUUAA